rnacentral:misc_RNA from 1 species
GAUGAAGAACGUAGCGAAAUGCGAUAAGUAAUGUGAAUUGCAGAAUUCAGUGAAUCAUCGAAUCUUUGAACGCACAUUGCGCCCGCCAGUAUUCUGGCGGGCAUGCCUGUUCGAGCGUCAUUUCAACCAUCAAGCCCCCGGCUUGUGUUGGGGACCUGCGGCUGCCGCAGGCCCUGAAAACCAGUGGCAGGCUCGCUAGUCACUCCGAGCGUAGUAGUUACAUCUCGCUCAGGGCGUGCUGCGGGUUCCGGCCGUUAAAAGCCUUAUUUACCCAAGGUUGACCUCGGAUCAGGUAGGAAGACCCGCUGAACUUAAGCAUAUCAAUAACGGAGGA